AUCGUCGUCGUCGUCGUCGUCGACGCGCGUCGCGCGCUCGAGAGCGUUCCCUCGCGGAACUCCUAUCUGAUCGUUCGCGGCGAACCUCCGCUACAUCGCUCCGGUACGCCGCUCCAGUAUACCGUUCCGCGUUCCGGUAUACGCUCCUCCGGUACAUCUGUAUCGGAUCACGAAGCACCAACCGUCGACGAAAUCGACGACGAGAAGACGUCCUCAGGGAUAGCUCGCGAUGGAGCGUGUAAGGUUAUAACUCUGCCCCGUUGUCGUCGUCGUCGUCGUCGCCGUCGUCGCCGUGGGUGGUGGUGGUACUAGUGUGCCGGUGCUGGUGAUUGCCGUCGUCGUCGCGGUCGCGUCCAGAAUUGUUGUUGUUGUCGGGCGCAGCUUGCACAGGGGGAACCGUCCAAUAGAAACUCAGCCAGACGUCCCAGAGGCAGCCGACUUCGCGCGAAAACUGAAGGGUCUGGGGCGCGCGACGGCGAGAAGAAAUGAGGUGGACGUGACACAAUGACAUGAUGAAGAGCCUGGUGGGGAUCAUGUGGAUAGUGUUGGUGCUCAUAUCAGCUCAUCUUUCAGGCGGCGGCGGCGGCGGCGGCGGUGGCGGUCCAACUCAGAAACUCAGCUCUUUCCCUGUGCUCGCAGGAUGCUCAGGAAAUCCGGACGCGAAGCGAUUAUACGACGACCUCUUGUCGAACUACAACAAGCUGGUUCGUCCAGUGGUCAACGUCACAGACGCCCUCACCGUUAAAAUAAAGCUCAAGCUUUCGCAGCUCAUCGACGUGAACUUGAAGAAUCAGAUCAUGACGACGAACCUCUGGGUCGAGCAGUCGUGGUACGAUUACAAGUUGAAAUGGGAUCCAAAGGAGUACGGUGGGGUGGAGAUGCUGCACGUGCCAUCGGAUCACAUAUGGAGGCCCGAUAUAGUUUUAUACAACAACGCCGACGGCAAUUUCGAGGUGACGCUGGCGACGAAGGCGACUUUGAACUACACGGGUAGGGUCGAGUGGAAGCCGCCGGCGAUUUACAAGUCUUCCUGCGAGAUCGACGUCGAAUAUUUUCCUUUCGACGAGCAGACGUGCGUGAUGAAGUUCGGCUCGUGGACUUACGACGGCUUCCAGGUCGAUCUUAGACACAUCGACGAGGUCCGAGGCAGCAAUGUCGUCGACAUCGGCGUCGAUCUGUCGGAGUUUUAUACUUCCGUCGAGUGGGACAUACUAGAGGUCCCUGCUGUAAGAAACGAAAAGUUUUACACGUGUUGUGACGAGCCUUACCUCGACAUCACCUUCAACAUCACCAUGAGACGGAAGACUCUGUUCUACACCGUCAACCUCAUAAUACCGUGCAUGGGGAUAUCCUUCCUCACGGUGUUGGUGUUUUACCUGCCAAGCGACAGCGGCGAGAAGGCCGCAGUACCGGAUAGACAGGCGUAGCAUGGCCGGGCAUCAUGGGCAUCGCGUGAUGGUCCGAACAUGCAACGGUCUCGAAUUGCGAGACCCAUCACUGUUCGUCGAGACGUCGGCCUCGGAGCUGGUCGAGUCGUCUGUACUUUUUCCUAGUGUCGAUUCACGGGACGAGCUGCAGCCUCGGGAAUUGGGAGCGGUAAAUCUAGGGAGCACGUGCCAGAUCCACGGUUCGCCCGCGGCGACGGCCACCGCGCCGCCGCCGCCGCAGCUCCCGACGGAGGAGAGCGUUGACGCUCUCUGCAACACGCUUCAUCAUUGGCAUCACUGCCCAGAACUGUACAAGGCCAUCGAAGGCAUCCGCUUCAUCGCCG
rnacentral:misc_RNA from 1 species